rnacentral:lncRNA from 1 species
CCCCGAGCUGGGGUCCAACCCCUCAUUGGCUGCCCGAGCCGCCACUCGGAAGCAGCAGGGUAGGUGGUGCCCGUCACGUGCCCAGAAUCACCUGACUCCCAGCAGCAGAGGGGGGAGGAGGAGUCACGAGGAGGGCGGCCCGGCCGCGCCUCUCGCCGGGCUCUGUCUCUCUGCCCGGGGCCCAGCCCGCACGCACCUUGGUCCUGCCCUGCACGCACAGUGCUCCUCAGUUUCUCUACCUUCUUCCGAGCUCUCCAGAGCACCACAAGGGGAGAUGCUCUGCUUUAGGGGAAGAACCGAUUGUCCUCCUCCUCCAAUUGUACUCGCGGAACCGAUACUUAUUGAUGCCUGUGACGUCCUGAGUAUCUAACAAGGGGCUUGAAACUGGAACCGACUUGGACCUGCCUGCCCUCACAACUGCUUGAAGAUUUAAGAGAUCGGACCUCUGUGUAAGUAGCCUCGGCACGAGAUAUUGUGUGGGAAUGCCUUAGGCACAGAUGAAAUGCGGGAGAAUUGGCGUCUGAGUAGGUCUAGACGGAUGGAUGCAGUUGGGGUGAGCAGAAGUGUGAAGGAUGAGCCAGCUGCAAGGCAAAGCCUCAACCAAGGCAGUCAUGGGUGGGUGUGAUAGCUUCAUUUAGCAAGUAGUAGG